rnacentral:snRNA from 1 species
GGAUGUGAGGGAGAUCUGGCUGCGACAUCUGUCACCCCAUUGAUUGCCAGGGUUGAUUCAGCUGAUCUGGCUGGCUAGGCAGGUGACCCCUUCCUCCCUCACCGCUCCAUGUGCGUCCCUCCCAAAGCUGCGCGCUGGGUCCAAGAGCAUAACCAUCCCUGACAGAGGAGGACCAUUCUUCAAUCAAGGGUAUAAGAGUAGCUGCGCUCCCCUGCUAGAACCUCCAGACAAGCUCAAGCGAGUCGCCUUGAGGGCAAGAGCUUCUCU